rnacentral:rRNA from 1 species
UCUUGGUCCAUUUAGAGGAAGUAAAAGUCGUAACAAGGUCUCCGUUGGUGAACCAGCGGAGGGAUCAUUACUGAGUUUGCCCGGCUCAAUCAACCCCUGCGAACCUAUACCGUACGUUGCUUCGGCGGGCCUGUCCCUGGAGCGUGGCAUGGCGGAUCCCCCCCAGGGGAGGGCGGCACUGGUCGCCCACCCCCUGGCGGUGUGUCCCCCGCCGCGCCCCCCGGGACCCUGCCCGGCCCGCCGGUCGAAACCCCCCGAACAGCCUGAGAGGCGAAGUUUUUCUGAGUCUUUAGUGGGAACGAGUCAAAACUUUCAACAAUGGAUCUCUUGGUUCUGGCAUCGAUGAAGAACGCAGCGAAAUGCGAUAAGUAAUGUGAAUUGCAGAAUUCAGUGAAUCAUCGAAUCUUUGAACGCACAUUGCGCCCGCCAGCACUCUGGCGGGCAUGCCUGUCCGAGCGUCGUCACACCCCUCAAGCCCCCCCGCGCUUGGUGUUGGGGACCGGCCGCCCGCGCCCCCUCGCUCGCCGAGGGACGGGGCGGCCGCCCCCUAAAUCGAUCGGCGGCGGCGUCGCGGCCACCCUCUGCGUAGUAGUUAGCACACCUGCAUCACCUCGCACCGGGAGCUCGGCGCCGCCACGGCCGUAAAACCCCCCAAACUUUCUCAUGAGUUGACCUCGGAUCAGGUAGGGAUACCCGCUGAACUUAAGCAUAUCAA